AAUAAUGUGAGCUCCGAGCUUUUCUGCCCUAAAACCGUUUGGUCAUGGCAAAAAGCCGUUAGGGUAAAUCUGGAAACGGAUUUGCCUCCCGUGGUUGAAAAGGAGCGCGGAACCAGCUUUU
rnacentral:ncRNA from 2 species